GCAUAUCAAUAAGCGGAGGAAAAGAAACUAACAAGGAUUCCCUUAGUAACGGCGAGUGAAGCGGGAAGAGCUCAAAUUUGAAAUCUUCAAGGUUCUACCUUGACGAAUUGUAGUUUAAAGAAGUGUUUUCUGUUAGAUGAGUAGCAAAAGUUCCUUGGAAUGGGACAUCAUAGAGGGUGAGAAUCCCGUAUUUGGUUAUUCGUUCUAGCUUUGUGAUACACUUUCAAAGAGUCGGAUUGUUUGGGAAUGCAGUCCAAAAUGGGUGGUAAAUUUCAUCUAAAGCUAAAUAUUGGCGAGAGACCGAUAGCGAACAAGUACCGUGAGGGAAAGAUGAAAAGAACUUUGAAAAGAGAGUUAAACAGUACGUGAAAUUGUCAAAAGGGAAGCGUUUGACACCAGUGUUGUUUUUCCGAAAAUCAAUUACGAAUGGCUUGAUUUUGUGUUGUAUUGACCUUAUCAGCUUUCUGCACUUUUUUCGAGUCUUUCUUAAUGCACUUUUCGGUUAACAAGUCAACAUCAAUUUCUUUUGUUGUAAAAGAGUAUUCGGAAGGUGGCUUUCUUUUCGGAGAAAGUGUUUAUAGCCCUAUACUUCUACAUCGGAGAGAUUGAGGUCUGCAGCGUAGAUCCUUCGGGGUUAGAUACAUUUGUGCUAAGUUGUAGCUUUUCAUAGACAACUUGUUGACUAUGUUUAGUCAUGCGGCUUACUCGCUUAUGCUAUUUUACCUACGCUUAGGAUGUUGACAAAAUGGUUUUAAACGACCCGUCUUGAAACACGGACC
rnacentral:rRNA from 1 species